GCCGGUGUGUCGGAAUGGCAGACGAGGCAGACUCAAAAUCUGUUGUGGGCAACUACGUGCGGGUUCAAGUCCCGCCGCCGGCA
rnacentral:tRNA from 1 species